CACUCGUCAUGGGGGAUGACGGGGUUGGGGCAGUCGGUUGUGUCUUCGCAGAUGACCUCAUCGCACAUCACGGUGCCGCUGUCGCACACGCAGAUCUGGCAUGGCUCGGGUUUCCAUACGUCACGGUCCGCAAACACCUGGCCGUCUAGGGUGCAACUGCCACCCGUGCCUGAGGGGGGCGACAGAGAGGCAUAGGUGAGACAAGCGGACUGCGGAUUAAAGCGAAUAAGAAAAAAAAAACCGGAAAUAAAGUAAUUAAUCUAAUAGAAUAUUAACAAAGACAAGGUGUUGUGGCUGAAAGUAUCGCCUCACCUGGCCAACUCAGCAAUGGGCCUCGGGCAGUGUUUAGUUUGCCACAUCCAUCAAACCUGCAGCAAUGUUGUCUACGGGACUACUUUGGUCGAGUAAAACGCUGCUGGUGUUGCAUCUAAAAAGACGACUGCACUAUUGGCUAGGAAAUAGCGUGCCGCCUAUCCCCAGCUUAUAUCCCCCAAAAUGGGCUUGAAAAGUGAAAAACCGGCCUGAAAAAGAACAGCGAUAGGUGAGUAUUUUCAUCAUAUUGUUCCACUUCUGUCUGUUAUGGGGUAACCAGAUGUUUUUUGGGGGGUUUUUUUUAGCAAAGGGUCCGCCAACCCUGCCUGUUUAGAAAUACCUGUAGAAUUGAGGGCUUG